AAGAGUUUAUAAAAUCUACACAAAAUAACAUAUUGAAAUCUAUUCACCUUUUUGUAAUUUUUUGCCUAGGGCCAGGUUGGAAAUGCAGGACUGGUCCCCUGCAGCAAAGUUUUAGCUACAGGUCCAGAAAUAAUCACUUCCGAGGCUCUGCUUCUCCCCAGAUGCUGAAUGCCAUUACUUUGGACUUAAACAUCAGAAUUCUUUAUAACAAAUAAGGAUCCAGACUGACAGUGUAGUUCAGUUGACAGAACAGAGGGAUGAUUCACGCUCUAGGUGUUGUGGAUGGCUUGACCACAGAGGGAUCAGUUCAAUCCUGAGAAGGCUAUGUGACGCUGUCGCAUUAAAAUGCAGAUUUAAAGAAUUUCCUUCACUACCCACUGGGAAUACUGUACAGGUGGUGAGGAGCUGCCAUGAUGAGGAUAUUUCCCUGCUUCAGCUACACGAGUGA
rnacentral:lncRNA from 1 species